rnacentral:rRNA from 1 species
CACGUAGGGUGCGAGCGUUGUCCGGAAUUAUUGGGCGUAAAGAGCUCGUAGGCGGUGUGUCGCGUCGGCCGUGAAAACCUGCAGCUUAACUGUGGGCUUGCGGUCGAUACGGGCAUCACUGGAGUUCGGCAGGGGAGACUGGAAUUCCUGGUGUAGCGGUGAAAUGCGCAGAUAUCAGGAGGGAAACACCCGGUUGGCGAAG